rnacentral:rRNA from 1 species
UACGAAGGGGGCUAGCGUUGUUCGGAAUCACUGGGCGUAAAGCGCACGUAGGCGGAUCUUUAAGUCAGGGGUGAAAUCCCGAGGCUCAACCUCGGAACUGCCUUUGAUACUGGGGAUCUCGAGUCCGGGAGAGGUGAGUGGAACUGCGAGUGUAGAGGUGAAAUUCGUAGAUAUUCGCAAGAACACCAGUGGCGAAGGCGGCUCACUGGCCCGGAACUGACGCUGAGGUGCGAAAGAGUGGGGAGCAAACAGG